GUCCACGCAGUAAACGAUGAAUACUAGCUGUAUGCGAUACACUGCAUGUGGCACAGCGAAAGCGUUAAGUAUUCCACCUGGGGAGUACGUUCGCAAGAAUGAAACUCAAAGGAAUUGACGGGGGCCCGCACAAGCGGAGGAACAUGUGGUUUAAUUCGAUGAUACGCGAGGAACCUUACCCGGGCUUGAAAUGCAGACGACCGACAGGGAAACUUGUCUUCCAGCAAUGGCGUCUGUGUAGGUGCUGCAUGGUUGUCGU
rnacentral:rRNA from 1 species